UGCGGAGGGAUCAUUACACAAUACAAUAUGAAGGCUGUCCGCAGCUGGAGUAUUUUAUUACCCUUGUCUUUUGCGCACUUGUUGUUUCCUGGGCGGGUUCGCUCGCCACCAGGACCACCAAAUAAACCUUUUUUAUGCAGUUGCAGUCAGCGUCAGUACAAACAAUGUAAAUCAUUUACAACUUUCAACAACGGAUCUCUUGGUUCUGGCAUCGAUGAAGAACGCAGCGAAAUGCGAUACGUAGUGUGAAUUGCAGAAUUCAGUGAAUCAUCGAAUCUUUGAACGCACAUUGCGCCCUUUGGUAUUCCAAAGGGCAUGCCUGUUCGAGCGUCAUUUGUACCCUCAAGCUUUGCUUGGUGUUGGGCGUUUUUGUCUUUGGUCGCCCAAAGACUCGCCUUAAAGUGAUUGGCAGCCGGCCUUUCUGGUUUCGCAGCGCAGCACAUUUUUGCGCUUGCCAUCAGCAAAACGGCAAUCCAUCAAGCCUCCUUCUCACGUUUGACCUCGGAUCAGGUAGGGAUACCCGCUGAACUUAAGCAUAUC
rnacentral:rRNA from 1 species